UACGUAGGGUGCAAGCGUUAAUCGGAAUUACUGGGCGUAAAGGGCGCGUAGGCGGUGCAUCAAGUCAGGCGUGAAAGCCCCGGGCUCAACCUGGGAAUUGCAUUGGAGACUGCAAGGCUAGAAUCUGGCAGAGGGGGGUAGAAUUCCACGUGUAGCAGUGAAAUGCGUAGAGAUGUGGAGGAACACCGAUGGCGAAGGCAGCCCCCUGGGUCAAGAUUGACGCUCAUGCACGAAAGCGUGGGGAGCGAACAGG
rnacentral:rRNA from 1 species